UACGGAGGGUGCGAGCGUUAUCCGGCAUUAUUGGGCGUAAAGAGCGCGUAGGCGGUUUGUCACGUCUGCUGUGAAAGCCCGGGGCUCAACUCCGGGUGUGCAGUGGGUACGGGCAGACUAGAGUGCAGUAGGGGGGACUGGAAUUCCUGGUGUAGCGGUGAAAUGCGCAGAUAUCAGGAGGAACACCGAUGGCGAAGGCAGGUCUCUGGGCUGUUACUGACGCUGAGGAGCGAAAGCAUGGGGAGCGAACAGG
rnacentral:misc_RNA from 1 species